GGUCAGAUCCGUGGAACAUGCGCCAAUGGCCAUCUCAAAUGAUCCAGAAUGCAAGUAAGAUUCAGAUAAGAACUUCUUAAAUAAAAAGGGACUAUUAGAAAAAUGAUGUAUAUUCAGUCAAGCAAAACAUAAAUUACUAGUGAGGAUUGUUCCCCCAAAAAUUGAGAAAUAAUGAGUAUGCAGCUUCUCUAACGAUUGUGCAUUUAUCAGGCCUGCUAGAAUUAAAUGCAGC
rnacentral:lncRNA from 1 species